CGGACAGCUAGUCUACGGAGGAGCGGAAAUUUCUUGGAAUUUCCGAGUUAAAAGAAGCUCCUUCUCCCUUAAAAAGUAAACUAUGACGCAUGCGCAACAAAACCGUUUAUGAUGAUCACUAACACACAUGUACGUAUUCGUGAUAUCCAUGUGUGUAAUCAAAGCGGUUAGAUAUUUGUACGCAUAUUUUUUAUAAUUACGAUUAUAAAAAUAUACAUUAAAAAUACAUUUUAGUUAUUUCAUUGUUAUUAUUAUUUUUAGUGAUAUCGAUUAUUAGUGUAACAAGUGUAAAAAAAAAUGGGGAAGCCUACUAUUACUCAAUCUGAUACAGAUGUAAAAAAGAAAAAUAAAUCCAAUAAAGUUUGCAAAAAUUUUCCGAUUAAAUAUAAGUUGGAAAUAAUCAACCGUUUAAAACGUGAACCUCUUUCUGAGGUUUUAAAAGAUGUUGAUGUUAAACCUAAAACCGUAAAAUCCUGGGAACAAAAUCGUAAACAACUUGAAGAAGCUUUGGAAGGAAAUAUAAUUCGGCAUAAACGUAGACGUGAUCCAAAAAAUGCAGUGCUUGAUGAAGCAGUGUACAUUUGGCUAUCACAAUUAAGAAAAACAGGUGUCCCUGUAUCAGGAGUCAUCUUGAAGCAACGAGCUCUCGACUUACAUCAAAAUAUGAAUUGUGAAACCAAGUUUACAGCUAGUGAAGGUUGGUUACGAAACUUUAAAAAGAGAUAUAAUAUAAAACGACGUACUAUUGGUGGUGAAAAGUUGUCAGGAGAUGAAGAAGCUGCCAAAAAAUUUGUAACCAAGUUUAAAGAUGACGUUGAAUCUAAAGGGAUGUCAAGAAAACAAGUUUUUAAUUUUGAUGAAAGUCCGUUAAAUUUUAAAUCACUUUCUACUGUGACAUUCAGUACAAAAGAAGAAUCUGAAGUAAGUGGCUUUAAAAAAAACAAAGAUCGCUUAACAAUUACUGCUUGCUGUAAUGCAGAUGGUACAUUUAAAUUACCAUUAAUUGUAAUUAGUAAAGCCAAGAACCCGAGGGCUUUAAAAGGUAUUUCAAAAGAUCAAUUACCCGUGUACUACAGACAUCAACAAAACGCAUGGAUGAGCACUCAAAUAUUUGAAGAAUGGUUUAGAAAAGAAUUCGUGCCAAAAGUUACUGAAUAUUUAAUAAACGAAAAACUGCCCGUGAAAGCUGUCCUUCUAGUUGAUAACUGUAAAGCUCAUCCUUAUUUGAGAGUCAAUAAUAUUGAGACUGUUUUCUUGCUACCAAAUGUUACGGCAUUAAUACAGCCUCUAGAUCAAGGAAUACUUGAAGCAAUCAAACGACGAUACAAGUAUAUUCUCACUGUGGCAUUAGCGAGUAAACAACAAGAUAAUGUUAAACUACCUCCUCUAUUGAAAGAUGUUACAAUCAAAGAGGUCAUUUAUUGGGUGAGCCAAUCUUGGGAAGCUGAGAAACGUGAAACAAUUCACAAAUGCUGAAAUAAAUUAUGGCCUGCUGAUCUUCAAACAGAAAAUAUAUUAAAAUCUCCUGAAGUUGAUGGCUCAGAAACUAUAAAUACUGAUAGAGUUAUUUGUCCAGUUGAAAAAAAUAUGAGCGAUGAAAAACUAACGUGUGAAGAUGUGUUAGAAGUUUUGAAAAAAAUCUAGGGUUAUGAAAAUAUUGAUCUAGAGUUUGUGAAGGACUGGAUGAAACAAAAUGAUGAAGAAUGGGAUAUUGAUGUGAUAUUAAUUUAAUUUUUUAUUUUGAUUUAGCGUCUAUUUGUCCUGAUGAUUUAAUAAUUUAACCUAACGGCGAUUAAUUACUGACUGAUAAUUACAUAAAAAUUUGUAUCUUUUGCUUUUAUUUUUAUUUUCAUUUUUAUCUUUUCUUUCUUUUUCUUUUUUUCUUUUAAGAAUUUGAAAGAUCCCUUACUGACCAAGAAAUCAUAAAUCUUGCGAAGAACCACUGUAAUAGAAGAGAUGAGGAUAGUGAGAAUUUGGAUAACGCGAGUAAAAGUGAAUUGGUACAAAAAAAAACAGUAUCUGGGUCAGAAGCUUUAAACGCCGUUGACAAACUCAUAGAAUUUUCAAAUGAUUUUAAAAUUUCUCCCAACACGUUAGUUCAUCUACAUCAAUUAAAAACUGACAUUAUGUCUUGGAUGGUAUUAAAUUCCAAGUAAUGUUUUUCCUAAACUUUAUAUUUUUUUUUAUGUUUAAUUAUAUUUUUAAUAUGAUCUCAUUUAUGUACCAAUAAUAUGUGAUACGUAGUAUAAAGCCAUUAAUUGAGCUGUGAAUUCUUAAAUGUAAAGUUAAAACUAAAUUCAUAUAAUUUCAAUAAAUAAAAAAAAAAAAAAAUUAUUUUACUUUGUCGUUUUAAAAAAUUAGACAGGUUAUGUGAGGAGAGUCACAUGAAUGAUGCACCUACACAUACAAAUGUAUGGUAUCGGGUGGGGGACCGCGUAGCUCGUAGUGGGGGUCAAAAUUGAGGAGAAGUUUCGAGUUAAUGGAAGUCGAGUUAUUGGAGUUUGACUGUAAUUUGUAAAGUGAGCAGCUUAGAAAUAGAUCGAAAAUUAUUUCUUUUAAUUAUUAUAGCUCGAUAACAAAACGGUGAGGUGCUACUUUUAUAUUUUUAACUUAUUCUAAAAACAUUUUUUAACACUCUACUACUUUUUUUCCAAUUCUGUUGAGAGAAUUUUUUAAUAUAAUAAAAAAUAGUUAGAGAGACCGAACAUUUUACAUACUUUAAAUGGGACAUGACCCUCAAAAUCGUGAAUUUCGCCUUCAAAUAUCUCGCGAUCUAAACGGUCAAAAAUUAUGAAAUUUCAGGAAUUCAUAAAUAAAGCUAUUCUAAACGUGUGAAAAAAAUUUCAGCCGAAUCUGUCGAAAAGUGGUUUCAUGCUGGAACUAUCUUAAGAGAGUCGAGUUUCCAUCGGAUUUUAAAGGGCUCAAAAACGAAUAAUGAUGUUUUGGAACUAUGCGAUAUCAAAAAUAGCUCGAAGAGUUUAAAUAUUUUUAAAAUAUCAAUUUUCUUUAUGCUUAUCCUUGGAUACAAUAUAAUCAUGCGUUUAACUUGCAAACAUCAAUUAUCGAUAAAGAUAAUUACUGUAAUUGUAGUUUAUUGCGAAUAAUACCAAUAAAUGAGCAAGUGAGUUUCAGUACUAACAAAGUAUAAAAUAAUUUUUUUGUGACAAUAUUUCUCAUCAUUACUCCUGACAAUUGUCAGUUUUCAUUUGUUUAUAUAUUAAUAUAUAAAAAAAUGAAAACUUUAACAAUAAUCGCAAUAGUAAAUUUAGAGAUUUAUCUAUUGAGUGCACAAUUGGGUACUCAAGUCAAUCAAAAUGAGGAUUGCGAUCUUCAGACAGCAGCCUCUAUGGGGGCAAGUGCAUCUAGUGAGGGAGCAAAUGUAGAAGUUGAAGGACAGGCAAAUUUACCUUCAUGCGAAUGUCUGAGGCGUAAAGAUAUCCAAGGCUCUGUUAGCGUUUCUACAAACGGUAUAAAUGCAAAGGGGGGCGUCUCUCAAUCUGGUUCGGUUAUUAUCCCCGGGGUUAACUGCAUGGAAACAGAGACUUCCAAAGAUGGAACAGACCAAGGAUAUAAGUAUAUUGUAGACAUUGAACGAACUGAUUUAAUCACGCCUGGUAACAUCUAUUUAUAUACACAUUACGAUAAAGAUAACGAUUCAUAUGGUGAAUAUUAUGAAACUAUGGAGACAGGAAAUGACCUCAAAAUAUACUUAGCCAAGAUAACCGCGAAUGAUGAUGUUGUUUACGAAUCAACGGAUGGUGAUAAAAUGAAACCUGCGUGCGAUCAUUCAUAUCCUGAGAAAACUCCUGAAGCCAAUGUUUGGAAAAUUAUAAAUUUGCUUGUUAUGGACGGCCAAGAAUGCCCAAUACCAGAAGGGACAAAUUAUACUCUUCCUAUUAAGAUGUCAUCAGUAGAACUUUCGUUCAAUGAACCAAUACCAUGCGGUGAAUAUUUGUUAAAUCUCUAUUUAGACUCGCCGAAGGAUAAGUUUGUACUGGGAGUUCAUCUAAAAUGGAACAUUGAAAAGGGUUCAACUGAGUGCACAGAUGAGGCUCAUCAACUUUAAUAAUUAUUCAUUAUUGUAAUGUUUACUAUUCACAAUGAAAAUAAAACAUCGUGGAAACACUAA